UGAGGAAUAUUGGUCAAUGGGCGAGAGCCUGAACCAGCCAAGUAGCGCGCAGGAUGACGGCCCUAUGGGUUGUAAACUGCUUUUAUAUGGGAAUAAAGUGAGGGACGUGUCCCUUAUUGCAUGUACCAUACGAAUAAGGACCGGCUAAUUCCGUGCCAGCAGCCGCGGUAAUACGGAAGGUCCAGGCGUUAUCCGGAUUUAUUGGGUUUAAAGGGAGCGUAGGCUGUUUGUUAAGCGUGUUGUGAAAUGUAAGAGCUCAACUUUUAGAUUGCAGCGCGAACUGGCAGACUUGAGUGCGCACAACGUAGGCGGAAUUCAUGGUGUAGCGGUGAAAUGCUUAGAUAUCAUGACGAACUCCGAUUGCGAAGGCAGCUUACGGGAGCGCAACUGACGCUAAAGCUCGAAGGUGCGGGUAUCGAACAGG
rnacentral:rRNA from 1 species